rnacentral:rRNA from 1 species
CCUACGGGUGGCUGCAGUGGGGAAUAUUGGACAAUGGGCGAAAGCCUGAUCCAGCCAUGCCGCGUGUGUGAAGAAGGCCUUCGGGUUGUAAAGCACUUUCAGUGGGGAAGAAAGCCUUGGGGCUAAUACCCUCGAGGAAGGACAUCACCCACAGAAGAAGCACCGGCUAACUCCGUGCCAGCAGCCGCGGUAAUACGGAGGGUGCGAGCGUUAAUCGGAAUUACUGGGCGUAAAGCGCGCGUAGGCGGUCUGAUAAGCCGGUUGUGAAAGCCCCGGGCUCAACCUGGGAACGGCAUCCGGAACUGUCAGGCUAGAGUGCAGGAGAGGAAGGUAGAAUUCCCGGUGUAGCGGUGAAAUGCGUAGGGAUCGGGAGGAAUACCAGUGGCGAAGGCGGCCUUCUGGACUGACACUGACGCUGAGGUGCGAAAGCGUGGGUAGCAAACAGGAUUAGAUACCCCAAUAGUC